rnacentral:rRNA from 1 species
UACGUAGGGGCCUAGCGUUGUCCGGAAUUAUUGGGCGUAAAGAGCUCGUAGGCGGUUCGGCAAGUCGGAUGUGAAAUCUCCACGCUUAACGUGGAGGGGCCAUUCGAAACUGCUGUGACUCGAGUCCGGUAGGGGAGUGUGGAAUUCCCGGUGUAGCGGUGAAAUGCGCAGAUAUCGGGAGGAACACUAGUAGCGAAGGCGGCACUCUGGGCCGGAACUGACGCUGAGGAGCGAAAGCGUGGGGAGCGAACAGG